rnacentral:rRNA from 1 species
AACGAACGCUGGCGGCAGGCUUAACACAUGCAAGUCGAGCGCCCCGCAAGGGGAGCGGCAGACGGGUGAGUAACACGUGGGAACGUACCCUUUACUACGGAAUAGCUCCGGGAAACUGGAAUCAAUACCGUAUGUGCCCUUUGGGGGAAAGAUUUAUCGGUAAAGGAUCGGCCCGCGUUGGAUUAGCUAGUUGGUGGGGU